CCAAUAGCGUACAUUAAAGUUGUUGCAGUUAAAAAAGCUCGUAGUUGAAUUUCGGGGUUAGUAGGUUGGUCAUGCCUCUGGUAUGUACUGGUCUCACUGAUUCCUCCUUCCUGAUGAGCCGUAAUGCCAUUAAUUUGGUGUUGCGGGGAAUUUGGACUGUUACUUUGAAAAAAUUAGAGUGUUUAAUGCAAGCUAACGCUUGAAUACAUUAGCAUGGAAUAAUGAAAUAGGACGUUCGAUCCUAUUUUGUUGGUUUCUAGGAUUGACGUAAUGAUUAAUAGGGAUAGUUGGGGGCAUUAGUAUUCAAUUGUCAGAGGUGAAAUUCUUGGAUUUAUUGAAGACUAACUACUGCGAAAGCAUUUGCCAAGGAUGUUUUCAUUAAUCAAGAACGAAAGUUAGGGGAUCGAAGACGAUCAGAUACCGUCGUAGUCUUAACCAUAAACUAUGCCGACUAGGGAUCGGAUGAUGUUAAUUUUUUAAUGACUCAUUCGGCGCCUUACG
rnacentral:rRNA from 1 species